AGCAAUCAUUGAUGAAAUUAGACUGAUAAUUCCUGAUUUUUCAUUGAUUAGCACAGCAAUUAAUCACCAUCUUUCGGCUCACAUUGCU
rfam:Citrus sinensis cultivar Ridge Pineapple sweet orange scaffold00142_contig_27, whole genome shotgun sequence.